AAUAAAAGGAUCCAGAACUGGGAAAACGUUGCAUCUGCGAGUUGCGUUCGGAUAAAACCAAACACACAGUGCUCUUUCCAUUUUCUGGAUGGUGGUUACCAAAUCGAUCUUCAGAUCGAUGGAACCAACAAAAUUGGAGCUGUAUGAGCUUCAAUUUCGUCGAUCUACCUAGUCUUCGACCCAUAUCUGGCGAAAUCCACACUCGGAAAAACAUUGUUAGGUUUUCAUGAGCAGAUGCCGAGGAUCUCAUAUACUGUUUUGUGGAUCUAAUCAAUCGAGCUAGGGUUACUGGUAAUUACUGAAAACCUUAGUUCUAAUACUAAUUUUGUGCUGUUUUUGUGUCAACAGGUUAGAUCUGUUAGCCAUAUUUACCAAAAAUGAUGUAAGGAUAAGGAUUACAGAAUGGUUCAGCGUGACAACCCAGAUUUGAGGGCUGUAGGCGAAGCCGUGUUCGGGCUGAAGUUGGAAGUUUAUGAUAUCAAGUCAUACAAAAAGGCAAUAGAACUAUAAGAAUAUUGACGUGACAACCCAGAUUUGAGGGCUGUAGGCGAAGCCGUGUUUGGGCUGAAGUUGGAAGUUUAUUAUAUCAAGUCAUACAAAAAGGCAAUAGAACUAUAAGAAUAUUGAGUAACCUUCUUUCUUUCUUCUAAAUAGAAUGUAAAGAUUUUAGAAAUUAAUAUAUUCUGUUUUUAUAGAACUUAAUACUUACUCAAACACUGCUGCAUUUUUUUUUUAUCAUUCCCUUAGUCCUAAAUGACUGUGCAACACAAGUUAUAGAAGAUUGCUCACUGUAUUUAGUCUACUGCAUUGUGCUGCAAAUACACAUUUUUACUCUAUGAAAUAGUUUGUCCUUUGAAUAACUCCAUUGGUUGCUAGGUAAAUAGCAGAAAGUAGAUAUGAGGGUUUCCAAUACACAACACCGAUAUGUAUUUUGUGACCAUUAGUCGACGUUGAUGCUUCUAAAGAGUUCAUGGCUUAAUAAUGCACUUAGAUGCAUAAAAAAGAGUAUUGCUUCAUUUAGUAUUAGUUCUCGGAUUUAAUUGUAUUCUUGUAUUGUAUUGUUACAUAUAAAUUCCAAGCAUACUGCCUUAACAGUUUUAAUUGCUCUGUUUGGGAUAAUAAGACCAUACAGAAACAGUAAAUGGUUGAUCAAUAACGCUAAAUACUGCCUUGCAAUUGUGUUUGUUAAUUCAGUUAGGUCCAAGGGUCAUACUUCUGAUUUCCAUUUACCUUUGACUGUUAGUAUAAGGUUUUCCCUUGACUUUAUUCUUAUAAAGUGCCUUAGAGUGCACUUAUAGAGCAUUAAUAGAACUUAGAUACAGUCCAUCUGUAUUUCCAGUCAUGGUUGCUAGGUAAAUAGCACAAAGUAGAGAGAUAUGAGGGUUUCCAGUCCAUAUCUAUUUUGUAUCCAGUAGUAGACGUUCAUGCAUUUAAGGAGUUCAUGGCUUAAAAAGAUGCAUAAAAAAGAGUAUUAGUUAUCGGAUUGAAUUAGCUCUCAGAUUGAAUUGUAUUCUUGAUUUCCAUGGGUUAUGUGUCAUUUCUUUUAUUUAGGAAUGGAAGAUUCUCAAGUUGAAAUUAUUUGUUCUUGACAUGUAGUUUCCACCAUAUAUGGUUUCUGUGUCAUUUCCAUGGGUUCUGCACUGGGCUGGAAUAGUAUUUAAUGCUAUCCCAAACAUAUUGCCUUAAUGGUUUUACUGCUAUCCCAAGCAUAUUGAAAAAUAAGACUAACAAAAUAGCCAAUGUAAUGCCAAGGGAAACAGUACAUGCUUGAACCCUUUAACCUUCCUGAAAUAACAAACACAAUUGAUCCUUUAUUUAGUGUUAUACUUGUGAUUUUCAUUUGCCUUUCUAUGUUAGUGUUAAGGUUUUCCCUUUGCUUUAUAUUAGAACUGAAAAGUGCAUUAAUAGAACUGAAAAGUUCAGACAGUCAAGACCAUGGGCAACAAAAAAGUUGAAUAGCUGAUUUAUUUCCAUUAUGGUUUCAGUUAUUUACUAAUGUUAAUAUUUAAAAAAAGACUUUAUGUUUGAAAUGUUUAUUCAUUGCUAUGUACUAUGUAUCUGAUUAAGUUAUGCUAUUCUCAAAUUAAUAGCAUAGAGGUCGUAUUAAUAUAGAAGGAGAAAGGCAUACACAGAGCAGGCAAAGGUAAGGUGUACAUUUAUUUAUAGCAGCUUAGAUACUAAUUUAUUCACAAACCAUGGCUCAAAAAAGAUUAUUUAACAUUUUCCUUUACAUUACUACUCAUACAUUGUGUAUAUUGAACAUUUAACUACAACACACUGUGUAGGAAUAAUACUACAACAUAGUGUUGGAAUGUAGUGUUGGACUCCAGCAUCUUUACAGCAACUGUAGAACUUAUAAUUGUCCACUAACCUGCAAAAAAAUAAAAAACAUACAGUAUACUUUCAAUUCAAAUGUAAAGGUUCACAUUCAAUAUUUAAUACACCUCCACAGCAAAGUAGCAAUUCCAAAACAGUAAUAAAACAUAAAAACAGCCAAAGACACAUUGGUCUACUUAAAAAUGAACUGCAAGCAAAACAUCAAGUUUUUUUAACAAAGGGUCAUAGUCCAUCCAUGUUCAUUAUAAAACAUCUUUUCAAUCAAUCUUCUCCAUCUUCACUUUAGUGUCUUUCAAUUUCUUGCAGCCCUUGGAGGAAGAGAACUGAUCCAGCAAGCAUCUCUUCACCGGUCCAUCAGAGGCUUCUGCAUUCUUCAUAGGUGGCAGCAUAGCUAUCGGGCUCUCACCUUCAUCACUGUCAAAUCCCUGAAAUGGAUAAACACGGGUCAAUAUUCCCAGGUAUUGAUUUCUUUCUAUUAAUUCUGUACAAAUUAAAUGAAGUAUCAGUUACCUGUAGGAAUUCAUCGUCACCAUCACUUAAUUGCACAGUAGAGUUAACUUCCUUGUCAUGAGCAGCAAACAGUUCCUUGCAAUACUGUUGAACAAACUUGCUUUCAUUGUUAAUCCUUAAAACUGGGAAAGCAUACGACCGAUUGAUAAAUUGGUCUGUAUUUGCAGAGAUUCUAAAUAGCAUUAUCCUGCCAACUAAUCCAGUGAUUUCCUUUAAUGGACCUGCAGUCUGUAAUUUACAAAUGAAAAUAUUAACUGUAUAGAACUAUUACUUAUAAUAUUACUUAUAAUUUAGGAAAAUAUUAUAGAAUGGAAAAAAAAAACUAUAAGGAUACUUACAUUCUUAUUCCUCUCAUAUAACUCACUGGCAGAUGUACCUAUCAGUUCCAUGCACUCUCUAUCCCACAAAAUAAAGGCAGCAGUACCCUUCAUGUCAACAGCCCUAAGCCUAAGUUUGUACCUUAGCACUCCAUCUUUCCAAGUCAAGUUACACUUGAAACAUUUGAGAACACCUUCUGACAUUUUAAGUUUCUUGUUGCAACCCGGUUUUCGACAUGAACUAUAACACCAAUCGUUGGACUUUUCAAUACCAUUUAUCUUGGCAGCAACCCAGAAUUCUCCAUGCUGCCAUGAGAAUUUAAAAUCAUCUUAAGUGUAUCUAUGAAAUAUUAUUAUACAAAUUCUGAACAAAUAAAUUAAAAAGAUAAUGUUUUUACCAUUUCAUUCUCAUAGAUCUCAGAAAUGGUAGUCAGCUCCAUUGUCCUACUGGUUGAAUCUUCAAUGCUGUUUGUGAAACUGAAGCUUGUCAUUGAACCUAUACUGCGCAUUGGAGUUUGUUCACCAAUGUCCACCAGACUGUAGGAGGUUUAAUCAUUUAAAAGCAAGUUUUUGAAUAGGAGUUUUUAAAAAAGCAUAGAAGAAAAGAAACUGUAUUAAAGAUAGUCAUACCUCUCUUUGAAGUUCUGCAUCUCAGGGCAGUCCACAUCAAUUAGGAAUUGAGUAACAUCAUAUGAAGACGAUAUUUUCACAUCACCAUCUAGAAAUAUAAAAAAAAAAUGGUGACUAAACUGUUUAAAACAACUAUCUAGUAAGCAAUAUCAGAAAUCUGGAUUUUUACUAACCUCUAGCACCAAGCUUGUUUCUACAAAAUUGGAUCAACACAACAAUAGGGUCCUUCGAAGCAGAUCUGUACAGUGGUUCCAGUUUGGCUACAUGUUCAUCCCAAAAGGUACAGUUCAAACGAUUACCCCUAUUUGAAUACAGUUAACAUAUUGUUAGUUAAAAUGAAAUACUAAUGAAAUGAAGGGAGAUGAGUAUUUUGUUGACUUACAUAGCAUCUUCCAGAACAAAGUCUAUUAGUACAGUACUCUGACCAGAAAUUGUUUUUUCUUGGGGAGGACGUAUUUCAACAAUACGCCCAAUUAAAUCUAAAAAAAAAGUAAAAAAAAAAAACAGCAGACAGUCAGAAAAAACAAAGUAUAUGCUGCACUAUCUAAGAAUAGGAAUUUGACAUGAAACACAGACAGGCAUUUGGUAAAUAGAAAUAGUAUGUAGAGAUAAAAAAUCUUACCAAUCAACUCCUUCACAUCUAGUGCUGGAUUACCUUUCAAAGUAUGGAAUGGUCUGGGUCUGUACAUGUGGUAAGGGAAAUUAUCUGACCUAGAUUCUUUCAUGAUAGUCUCAUGAUUGAACUGCAGCAUGAACUCGUGCAUGGUAUUCUUGUACGUAUGCCAAUUUGCAACGACAUAAAAUUUCUUGAAACAAUAGACAUUGCCUUCUAAAAAGCUUUCGGGGAAUUUUGGUAAAACAUCCUUUGGUAUACAGAAAUUUGGAAGAUGAAAGAUACCUCUUCGUCGUGCAGCACCAACUCUUUACUCUUGAUCUCGGAGGAGCCCCUCCUUUCCAUUACAGUGUAGGAUCGAACCACUCGAACCUUGACAGCACUCCUCCUCUUAAACGUCGUCAACUCAUUUAAAAGACAAUACAUCCCCAUGUUUCUGAAGUUGGAAUGCAAAUAGGAUAUCAGUUUGAAUUUGAUUUGUAGAUAGUAGAUUGCAUUUAUUCGUGAUCGUUCACUAACCUGUAAUAUAUAAGGCUGCGUAUUAAUGGACAUUUUGGCCUUCCCGGUGAAUGCAUACUUGGGAUGUGGAACCGUCGGCAACGAUUCCCUUUCCGAUGUAAAGGGAAUGAUUUCGUUUACAAACGUGUGCCCCAAAAAGUAGAGUAUUUGAAUUAAUUAUGUUUCCUUUCUGAAUAGUUAAUCUCCUAUAUUAGUCUCCUAUAUUAGAAGAUGUCCAAAACUGCACCAUUUUGCAAAUCCCGCUUAUACCAUUAGUAUACCCAAAACUACGCCGUUUUGUACUGGGCGGGAACUGCAUUUAAUGCGUUUCUUCUGGCUUUUUUAUUAUAGAAGAUUUUUUUAUUUUUUGGGA